rnacentral:rRNA from 1 species
AGUGAACGCUGGCGGUAGGCCUAACACAUGCAAGUCGAAUGGCAGCACAGUAAGAGCUUGCUCUUACGGGUGGCGAGUGGCGGACGGGUGAGGAAUACAUCGGAAUCUACUUUUUCGUGGGGGAUAACGUAGGGAAACUUACGCUAAUACCGCAUACGACCUACGGGUGAAAGCAGGGGAUCUUCGGACCUUGCGCGAUUGAAUGAGCCGAUGUUGGAUUAGCUAGUUGGCGGGGUAAAGGCCCACCAAGGCGACGAUCCGUAGCUGGUCUGAGAGGAUGAUCAGCCACACUGGAACUGAGACACGGUCCAGACUCCUACGGGAGGCAGCAGUGGGGAAUAUUGGACAAUGGGCGCAAGCCUGAUCCAGCCAUACCGCGUGGGUGAAGAAGGCCUUCGGGUUGUAAAGCCCUUUUGUUGGGAAAGAAAAGCAGCAGGUUAAUACCCCGCUGUUCUGACGGUACCCAAAGAAUAAGCACCGGCUAACUUCGUG